rnacentral:ncRNA from 2 species
ACCAGUUCUCGGGGCGGGGUGAAACUCCCCACCGGCGGUGAUGAUGCUGCGAGGUCAUGCUCGCGACAUCGAGCCCGCGAGCGCCUGCCCAGGCAGGGACAGCAGAUUCCGGUGCGAAUCCGGAGCCGACGGUCACAGUCCGGAUGUGAGAGAACAGGC